rnacentral:rRNA from 1 species
CCUACGGGAGGCAGCAGUGGGGAAUAUUGGACAAUGGGCGAAAGCCUGAUCCAGCAAUGCCGCGUGAGUGAUGAAGGCCUUAGGGUUGUAAAGCUCUUUUACCAGGGAUGAUAAUGACAGUACCUGGAGAAUAAGCUCCGGCUAACUCCGUGCCAGCAGCCGCGGUAAUACGGAGGGAGCUAGCGUUGUUCGGAAUUACUGGGCGUAAAGCGUACGUAGGCGGUUAUUCAAGUCAGAGGUGAAAGCCUGGAGCUCAACUCCAGAACUGCCUUUGAAACUAGAUAGCUAGAAUCUUGGAGAGGCGAGUGGAAUUCCGAGUGUAGAGGUGAAAUUCGUAGAUAUUCGGAAGAACACCAGUGGCGAAGGCGACUCACUGGACAAGUAUUGACGCUGAGGUACGAAAGCGUGGGGAGCAAACAGGAUUAGAUACCCUGGUAGUC